rnacentral:rRNA from 1 species
AGCGAACGCUGGCGGCAGGCCUAACACAUGCAAGUCGAACGAACCCUUCGGGGUUAGUGGCGGACGGGUGAGUAACACGUGGGAACGUGCCUUUAGGUUCGGAAUAACUCAGGGAAACUUGUGCUAAUACCGAAUGUGCCCUUCGGGGGAAAGAUUUAUCGCCUUUAGAGCGGCCCGCGUCUGAUUAGCUAGUUGGUGAGGUAAUGGCUCACCAAGGCUACGAUCAGUAGCUGAUCUUAGAGGAUGAUCAGCCACACUGGGACUGAGACACGGCCCAGACUCCUACGGGAGGCAGCAGUGGGGAAUCUUGGACAAUGGGCGCAAGCCUGAUCCAGCCAUGCCGCGUGAGUGAAGAAGGUCUUCGGAUUGUAAAGCUCUUUUGCCAGGGACGAUAAUGACGGUACCUGGAGAAUAAGCCCCGGCAAACUUCGUGCCAGCCGCCGCGGUAAAAC